rnacentral:rRNA from 1 species
UCCGUAGGGGAACCUGCGGAGGGAUCAUUACACAAAUAUGAAGGCGGGCUGGAACCUCUCGGGGUUACAGCCUUGCUGAAUUAUUCACCCUUGUCUUUUGCGUACUUCUUGUUUCCUUGGUGGGUUCGCCCACCACUAGGACAAACAUAAACCUUUUGUAAUUGCAAUCAGCGUCAGUAACAAAUUAAUAAUUACAACUUUCAACAACGGAUCUCUUGGUUCUGGCAUCGAUGAAGAACGCAGCGAAAUGCGAUAAGUAGUGUGAAUUGCAGAAUUCAGUGAAUCAUCGAAUCUUUGAACGCACAUUGCGCCCUUUGGUAUUCCAAAGGGCAUGCCUGUUCGAGCGUCAUUUGUACCCUCAAGCUUUGCUUGGUGUUGGGCGUCUUGUCUCUAGCUUUGCUGGAGACUCGCCUUAAAGUAAUUGGCAGCCGGCCUACUGGUUUCGGAGCGCAGCACAAGUCGCACUCUCUAUCAGCAAAGGUCUAGCAUCCAUUAAGCCUUUUUUUCAACUUUUGACCUCGGAUCAGGUAGGGAUACCCGCUGAACUUAAGCAUAUCAAUAAGACGGAGGAA